UACGAAGGGGGCUAGCGUUGCUCGGAAUCACUGGGCGUAAAGGGCGCGUAGGCGGAUCGUUAAGUCAGGGGUGAAAUCCUGGAGCUCAACUCUGGAACUGCCUUUGAUACUGGGUGUCUUGAGUAUGGAAGAGGUGAGUGGAAUUCCGAGUGUAGAGGUGAAAUUCGUAGAUAUUCGGAGGAACACCAGUGGCGAAGGCGGCUCACUGGACUGGUAUUGACGCUGAGGUGCGAAAGCGUGGGGAGCAAACAGG
rnacentral:rRNA from 1 species